GAGGAUGAACUUCCAGUUUCCUGUAGUACAAAAAUAGCAGGAAAAAAAAAAUGCAAGCACAUAUUGACCAAAUUCCUUGGUAAGAUACAGAGAAAAAAGAUAAAAAAAAAAAAAUGAAAUUGCCUUUAACUUCUACUUAUCUUAAUUAAAAAGCCCUUCAUCCAUACUGAACAUCUAAGCAAUAACUCUAAAUUAUGGUUGUCUACUGUUAUGGUUUUCGUUUCUAAGAAACUAGGCAUAUAUGAAUAAAUAGCCAAUCUAAUGUUUUCCUCAGCAGCCACAAAAAAAUAAAACAAAUUAAAGAAAUAAGCCAACCAAACAGAUAAAGCCAAAUAAUCCAAAUUAGAUUCGAGUUCAAAAAAAAAAAAACCUGUGGAACUGGGACAGACGAUG
rnacentral:misc_RNA from 1 species